AGGAGUUGUAUGAUGAUUUCAUAGUUCAACUGAUUCACUUUGAUGCAAAAAUCUUUCGCUCCUAUCUGACUUUUUUA